ACAUCACUUAGUCCAUCAUACUGUCAUUUAUGCCUUUCUGAGGGGAUGUUAAUACAGUAUAUAAACUGACUAUUGUGGGCUUUUCAUUGUCUGCAUAGUAAUCUCUUAGAAUUCAAAGCACUUUUCUUGCAUUGUCAGUUGCUGCUCUCAUUGUUAAAGGACCACUCUAGGCACCCAGACCACUUCAGCUUAAUGAAGUGGUCUGGGUGCCAGGUCCAGCUAGGGUUAACCCAUUUUUUCAUAAACAUAGCAGUGUUGUCAGGGUUUCUUUGCUGUUUUAAACAGCCACCCUUCCUUUUUCUGUCUGAGGUUUCUGUCUGAGGUUUCAGCUGUUAUUAACGAUCAGCUCCUUCAGUAUGUUGCCACGGUUACUCACCUGAGAAUAGUAAUCAACCCUGCUGCUAAUCAGUUCAGCCUAUUUAAGCAGCAAAUCCCAGAACCUCCUUGCCCUUGCAUGGUUUCCUGUUCCCCAGAAGUCUCCUUGUUCCUGUGUUUCCUGUUUGCUCCUGGUUCCUGACUCUGGCCUUGUUCCUGACUUCGCUGCCCUCCGUGCUCCUGAUCCUGGCUCGUCUGACUACCCGCUCUGGUGACUGACCCCUGCUUGCCUGCUGGACUUUGCUUUUGGUUAUUUCUUUGUUAUUUAUUAAAUAAAGGUGUUUUUGCAUCUAGAUCUGUCUCUGUCUGGUUCCUGGUUCCUGACAUUACGCAAGGGCCAUGAAUACAGAUGGUACAGGCAAUACACCUAUACCUAACCUAUUUACCCGGUGGGACCAGCAGAACCACCAUUUGGACCAGUAUGUCCAUCUGAAUCCAAAACCCGGCCAGCCUGCGAUUGCGGCCGCCUCUGCCUCACUUCCUGUUCUGGCACCGGUUGUAGCCUCCGAACCUGUUGCGGCUAGAGGAAUGACUGGGUCUGUCCCGCUCCCUCAGUAUUUUGGGGGCAACCCAGCUCAGUGCAAAGAAUUUAUAAAUCAGGUUAAAGUAUACCUUGAAAUGCUGCCCCAGGCAUUUCCUACAGACAGCGACAAAGUCCAGUUCAUGAUUUCUUUGCUGUCUGAAAAAGCCCUAGCUUGGGCAAAACCUCUCUGGGAGGCAGAGAGGCCCAUCAUUUACAACUACCCUGAAUUUGUUGCGUCCUUUAAAAGGGUUUUUGAUAUUCCAGCUCGCUCCACUCCUACUGCCAAACAACUCAUGUCUAAUACUCAGGGCACGAAAACUAUUGUUGAGUAUGCCAGUGAAUUCCGUACCAUGGCAGCAGAGGGUGGCUGGAAUAACGAGAUUCUCGUGGCUGCCUUUGCACAGGGG